UCUUUUUUAUUGAUGCUUCGACAACAUGGGCUGAGACACACACAUUUGCUCAUAUGAAUUUAUACCACUGCGUGUUCCAACAUAUACAUACACAAUUCGUUAAAUUAUUGCAUCGCGCUGCACUAGAUGUAAUAAGUAAAUUAACUUAGAAUCGUGUGUUUCAUAUUGUUUGAUAAUUAUUUAAGAAAAUGUUAAUUGUAUAGAAGACUUUUACGGUCCGAUAAUUUAAGUUGACAAGUUAAGCGAUAACUUGCAAAUUUUUGAUAAAACUAUCGCAUUUUUAUUUAUAUCUCAUCUUAAUAAAAAAAUAUUAUUUUUACACCAAGGAAAAAGAAAUGUUUUCAUAAUAAAGGCAAUAAUUUAGCUUUUUAUGACAAAAUCUAUUUUAGAGGAAAUUCGUCUGUUUUUCUAGUAGACAAAUUUAAACAAUAUGAAUCAUUAUAAGUUAACCAUAAAAGAUACGUUUUGGCGAUAAUUUGUACGAUUCAGUAAUAUGACAAAGCAACAAUUUUUUCUUGAGAAAAUACAACGAUGGAAAAAGGUCGUAAUAAAUCUAAGUAUACAAGUGUUACGAUAACACGAUUCUAAUGAAGUGUUCCUCCGUGCAUAAUUGCGUGAUACCUUCAGAUUCGAUAAGCUCCUUCGCACCAUUUAUCAUCAUUGAACUUGAUCUACACGAAUAGUAAUUUUAUCCAAAGUGAGAGAGCGAGAGAAUUGUUUCGUUUUUUUUUUUUUUUUUUAAUUUUCGAUAUCAAACGUCUCGUUUGUGGUGUGUGCUCGUAUUUUUUCUUCUUUUUCUUUUUUGUCUUUCUUUUAUUUCGUUUUGUCCCUUUUUUCUUUUUUUGCAGCAUCGAAAUAUGAAAAAUUCAUUUUCGACCAUUCUAUAUGCAUACAUACAUGCAUACACACACUUACAUAUAUGUAUAUACAUAUAUAUUUGAGGAGAUCCACAUGGGUCGCAAGAAUAGGUUGACAGGAUAGACUCUUCUAAUAGACUUUGCAGACGGACAUAAUAGAAAUAUUUAAUAUAUAGCAUCAUAUAUUAAUAUAAUAUUUAGUAAUAAUAUAAUAUCUAUUAUAUAUUAAUAUGUAUGAUAUUUUUUUGUUUGUUUUUAAUAAUAGCGUCCUUUCUCUUCUCGCUUUGUCUGAGGUGUGAUAUCCAGCGAUUUUCUAAUUUUCCUUACAUUCAAAUUCAGUACACGAUGUAAGUACGAUUUCGCUUCAGCCUUAUUCGGAUACUAAUCCUCAUUGAAUUUAUCAGGCAUUUUGUACGACCUGUUGACUUAUACAACCAUCGUAUGGUUGUUUCACAACGUAUGCGUAUUCUACCGUAGAAACAAAUAUACACGAUUUCUUCCGAAAUGCUCCUAAUCGAAGAUAAAAAUGAAUAAUUUUCAUGUCCGAUCUUAAAUAAAAAGUACCUAAAGUUUACGUAACAAAUUCUUACGAUCAGUUUAUGCAUUUCUUCGAUAAAUUAAACGUGGGGCAGAUGUUGUAUGAAGGAGAAGCAGUGAAUAUCAUAAGAAAGCAUGUUUACUUCUUCUUUGAUUCUUCAGAAGGAUCAACGAGAAUCGAAGAAUUCAUAGGAUCGAAAGACGAUGAUUCGUAAUUUCGUCAUCAGAUUGUUUCACAAAAAUCGGAAGAAUUUAAUUUAAGAUUAAACAGAUUCGAUUUUAAAGGUAAGUGAUAAAUGCGAUAUAUUCACUGAAAGUUCACAGUUUCGUUCGUCAGACGCGAGUUUGGGAUAUCAAACGUCAUGAAACAAUCUGAUAUAUCCAGCCAACGUACAAGAAAUAGAAUCGUUUAAUGUGCCACGAUUUAUUUAAUCGAUAUAAGCAAAAUGUUCCGAGAGAUUUAUUCGACGAACUAAGCGAUUCCCUUAAUCGUCUAAUUGUACUAAGAAAAAUCAAUGUCUGACGCGCACGAUGCUCGCGAACGAGGAGAUCUAAAAUGAUGAUGAUGAUGAUGAUCGUCGAUAAAUAAAAGAUACGCACGGUUACACGCUAAUAGCGAAAAAUUGUCCAGGAACCUUGUUUCAAGCGCGAAUACAGGAGAAAAGUGAAACGCACGAUAUACAAAUGAAACGCGUGGAACAAGUGCAAUUUUUCUACGCGCGAUGAAAAAGAAGCUUGCUCAGUGUCGCGCGAUUUUUGUACAAAAAUGCUUCGCUGUUCCAGCGAAACGAUCUCCACGAACAAAGUUUAUACAAGCAUAUUACGAAGCUUGGAGAAUCGUUCAGAGAUUGAUACACACACACACACAUUGACGUUGUUAAAAAUUGUGCUGGGAAAUGAUAGGAUGGAAGGGAAUAAAGAAGGAGGGAAGGAAGGAAGGAAGGAAGGAAGGAAGGAAG